GCUCCACGGCUGGAAGCUGAUUGCAAAUUAAGUCUGAGGCUUCCUGUACUGUAAAGAGUAGUUUCUUGCUGCAUCCAAUUAAGCUACUCCAGUUCUUUUGGCCAGAAGAUUGAGAAGACCUAUAGCUGAGCCUGUCCUUGAUGCCACUGUUGGUAAUAUAUUUUUCAUAAUUAUGAGUAUGGGCUAACCAUGCUUUUAGAGUUGAAUAAUUCGUUUCUUCUUUAUACUUUGUGAAAAGCAUAGGGUCUACCCUCUACUCUGGAGCUAUUAGUGCCACCCUUAUCACAUUGUUAGCAAAAACCCAUUUCGAAUUUGACAGCAUUCCUCGUAUAUCUUCAGCAGAAAGAUGUUCCCUCAGUAUACAUUAGCAUUUUUUGUACAUCUUCAUAAACAAAACACUCAUUCAGUGUUCCUCUGCUUUCUCCAUAUGGCCUGAGCAGAGAAAGUUUUGCUUGGCAAUUAUCUUGUUUUCCGAGUAUUUUUCAUAAGCGUUUGCCUUGGCAUCCAUCAGUUUUAUGUGUAUCUUCUUAGAAAGUAAGAUGUCUGCUCAGCAUUCAUUGACAUACAGAACACAGUCUCAUUACAGGACAAAGGAUGAGCUAUGCAUAAAGUCAAAUAUCAAAUUAGCAUUACAGGAAGCUUUUGCUGUGCUCUGAAUAUAUCAUUAGUAUAAGUAGUUAACAAAAAGUUCCUCACACAACCAGCAAUUGUGAUAGGUAAUUAAGACUCUUACAUUUUGCAGUCCCGCACUGAGCUCCAUUAAUGCACUGUAUCCUAGAUAUGCCCUAUUCCAGCAUAUGAGAUAUGAAGCUGCCUUAUACCGAGUCACUCCAUUGGUCAUCUCACUCAGUAUUAUUUGAUCUCAUUGGUGGCAACUCUACAGGGGCUCAUGAAAUGAAAGGGGUUUUGCAGUUUUGAAAUUGGUAAUUAAUCACUGAAAUUUUAAGUGGUUCAAUCCAUCUUGAUUCAAAAUGGUGUCCAGUUGUAUCCAAACAUAUAUGGAAACCUGCUCAGGAACAGUAAGGCAAAUUUUGGUUAGAAUAUCUUAAAAGGUGUCCAAAUGCAUAGUGAACAAACAAUUUUCCAAAAUACAUUAUAGAUUAUACUGUAUCUGGCUUAUUUGUAAUGAGUAAAUACAAUCAAACCUCAGGUGUCAAACACAAUCCAUUCUGGAAGUCUGUUUGGCUUCUGAAACGUUCGACAACCAAGACAAGGCUUCCGAUUGGUGGCAAGAGCUUCCUGCACUCAAGCGGAAGCCUCAUCGGACGUUCAGCUUCCUAAAAACAUUUGAAAACCAGAGCAUUUACUUCUGGGUUUUUGGAGUUCAGGAGCUAAAACGUUUGAUAACAGAGCUGUUCGGGAGCUGUAUAUGGUUUUAGUGUUUAUUAUUUAGCAACUUUUUGAUUAGUGUGGUUAUCUUGGAAGACAAUUGUUUUAAAAGGCAGCUUAGAAAUAUUUGAAAUAAAACAAACAGAACAAGCACCUGCCAAGUUUCAAAUGGCAGCAUAUAUACAGCAGCACUAUAAAUUAUCUUCUGAUCUAUGGAAUGGUGUUACUGUCUUGGGGGCGAGGGACAAAUUAGAAUACACUGCAGUCAGUUCUAGCAGUAUGGAAUAUCCUGUUAUCUUUGGAUUUAGGACAAGCCCUCCACAAAUGACAAUAUGAUCCAACUUUACCAUAAUGUUUCUUAUAGAACUUUGGACUGUUUACAAAUAUAAUGUAACCCUAUUAUGUGUCAAAUACCAAUGCCCGAAACCCUUAAAAGGUAAUCCUUUGAUGUUAACCUAGGACAAUUGGAAGAUGAAAUUUCCAAUUGAUGAAAGCUACAUUUCUGGGUCAAGAUUAGAGCCAAUAUAGGCUGUCUUUUUAAUAUAAAUUGGAUCUUUGGCCCAGACAUAGGAGCCCCAUAACUUAGCUUGGAAAUGGCACUUAAAAAAAUAUGGUACAUCUGCUUGCAAUAAGAUUUUCCGAGUUAUAGCUAUAAUCUCUCUCUAUAUCAAUAUAUCUAUAAUCUGGUUUACCAGAUUUAAAUUAUAGUUUCUGUUACAAAAAACAAACCAAAAAUGGAAUCUUGUCAAAUUUUUGUGGCUGAGCUCUGUUUACAGAUACAUAAUUUAGAGACAUAAUUUAGAGUUUACAAAUUUAAUCCGUUCCAGAAAUCCGUUCUUAAACCAAAACCAUUCUUAAACCGAGGCGUGCAUUCCCUAAUGAGGCCUCCCACUGCUGGUGCCCUUCCACCAUUUGGAUUCUGUUCUUAGACUGAGAUAAAGUUUGCAAACCGGGACACAACCUCUGGUUUUGCGGAGUCCAUAAACUGAAUUGUUUGUAAACAAGACUGUUCUUAAACCGAGGUACCGCUGUAUAGUGUCUUGCUAAAUCCCACAUAAUCUGGCAGUAUUUAACCCAGAUUCCAAAUCUACAAAUGCCAAAAUAUCAGUUGGUUUUCACUGAUUAUUUUAGGGGCUUUUCUUCUGUAUUACACUUGACUCCCACACCUCUGGUGGUCGCAUGGCUUUUCUGAUGAUGCUCUCAUAAUGUAGAAACACUGAGUGGAAUCAGAUGUGGGGUGAUAUCCAGUGGUAGUCAUACUCAGAGUAGACCUACAAAAUUAAUAACUCAUCUACUGAUUUCAGUGGGUCUACUCUGAGAACAAUUUAGUUAUAUAUUAACCCAUAGAUACUUCCCACACUAGGACCACCAUGGAACCUUGCAGUUGGUGACACUCAUGUAGCUGCAAAACUGAUUCCUCUCAAGUGACCUUGGAAUUCUUAUACUACCAGAACACCAUGGGAUGCAGACCUGCUACAGCAUCUCUCACAUUGCGGACUUAAUGUACAAAUGGGCUCUUCAUUGUCUUACGUUUCUGCUCCAUAUAAUAAGAACUACGGGGUAAGUAUCACUUUGUGGACUUUCAACUUUGGUACCGAGCUUAAUAUCCUUAUUCUCAAUUAGGCUUGUUCUAAUUGAGAAAACAGAAAUUUUCAGAUCAAAUUAUAAAUGCGGUACAUUCAUUAAUACAUACAUACAGGGCAAAUGUUUGGCAAACUAAACAUUUGUCCUGUAUGUAUGUAUUAAUGAAUAUAACACGUUUAUAAUUUGAUCUGAACAUUUUUGCUUGUUGAGCAGAGACUUUAACAUAUUUCUCUGGUUUAUCUUAUGCCAAAUUUGAUUACAUCCCUUGAACAUUAGUUUCAGAAGGCUCACUGGUCCAGGAGACGGCUAAUUAAAUAUGUUUGACACUUGUUCAGAUAAAAUGUGAAUUUCAUGUUCCGUUUUUUGUAUUUUAGGAGCAUCCUAUGCCUCUUUGUUUAUAUUUUUGUAUACAGCAGGAAGUUCAUUUUGUAACAUGAACUCAGCACAAGUUUGGGGGGAGAGGAAGGAAGACAACCUUUGCAUUAUUAUUAAGCACCGUUUGGUUUUCUAAGAUUAGCACCCUGAUCCAAGCAAUGCAGACAAAGCCUCAUUCAGCUGCUUAGAAAGGGCCCUCUGCAAUGACACUGUCUGUUAUAGCCUCACAGCACAAACACAUCUUGUUGGCCAAUAUUUCUCCCUCAGUUAAUGUGAACAACUGCCUCUGAAAAGAUCACAGUCAUAAUAGAUGCUCACUAGUAAGUCGGAAGGCAUGUUCAGCUAUGAAUAUGCAAACAGAAAACAGCAGGGGACUGCACACAAAUAUAGCGACUCAGAGGAGAAACUGUGAAAUUCAGGAUCUGGCAGAGUAACUGAUAAACAAUGUGACAUAAAUUUACACUGUAAGAAAGCAGGAAAACUGGAAUUUUAAUGAAUCGUACUUUCCCAAUCCACUUACACGUACACAUUGUCUAGUAUUGUCCAAUAAUAUUCAUGGAAUAUUUUUUACCAUGCUGACUAUCUAGGUGGCUUCAGAUAUGUUUUUCUUCUUGAAAUUUACCUCUGGCCCAUGUCAUAUUACUGUGUUACUGAAAUCAUUUUCUCCAGGACCUCAGGCAAUUUGCACAUAUGUGUGGUUGUAUAUGUGAUAUAUAGAUAUGUAUGUGUUCACCAUUAUUUAUUCAAUUAAUAUUGAAAAUAAGUUGCAGUGGGCAAUGAAAAGCUGUGUUAACUUUUAAUUAGCAUGUAUAUGGUGCUUUAGAAAGUCUCAGGAAUUUAUAGCCCUGUAAAGUAGGGCUACAGAUAUAAGGUUGAAGCUGACAGGCUGUGAAGAGCUAUCCCUCGUAGGUUCAUAUCUGAAGCAGAAUUUGAACUGGUAGCUUCCAUGCUUACUUCUCAGUUAUUUGAGGAAACUGAAUGCAACAGUUGUUUUCUCAUGUGGGCCCCAGGUAUCUCAAUGGUAUUCUGGUAGGGCAGAGUCAAGACAUGUAAUUGGGUUUUGUUUCUGAAUUAUGAAGCAUUUUUUGGGGGGGGGGGACUGAAAGACCAAGAGAACGUAUGAGUCAAAUAUAAGGGUGCAGAAUAUCGAAUUGCUCACAACCUUUGGCAACCUUUUUUUUCUAGGUUAGAGAUAGCUCUGCUCAAGUAUAUGGGCCAUCUGUCCAUCUAAGUAUUAACGUAAGAUGCAGAUUUUUGUAAGCGACUGCUGUUCCAGGGAUUCCAUUUCCACAAAUGGGAGGGAGUGUUUAGUGGUUCCACUCAACAAAGAUGAUAAAAAUCAGUUUCAAACUGAUUCCUAAUUUUGAUUUAAUAAUGUGUGCACAUAAUUUGCAACAUUAAUUCUGAUUGUUCACUCCAGUGUUUUUUAAGUUUAGAAGGGCCAUUAGACACUUCCCUUCAUUUGUUUGAAAUCUCUCAUUAAAGCAAGGCAUGGUGUCAUUAUUACUGCCUCUGCAGCCUGCAGUAAGUGUUACAAAGUGCCCUCCACAUUUAAAAUGUGAUGAAUUACACCUAUCAGGUCAGGUAACAUGCUAUAACUGCUCUAAUUCACUUUGCAGCCUACAAGUCCAAUGCCAGUUCAGAAUUUCUGUAGAACCCAGUAAAUCAAGCAGAAAUCUCUGCACAAGAUAAAACACUCUAGGGAUAUAAAUCUGGUGAAAUGUGUGACUUCGUAAAAAAAUAACCCCUUCAUUCUCAAUUUUUUAGAUCAAAUAUGUUUUAUUUUCAAGCAGAAUUUAUACAUGUUUGGAUUCGGGGCUGUAAUAUGCAAUGCAGCUUAAUACGCAUAACUUUGUAACUAACUGUAACUUAGGGCAAUGCCUACUAGUUGCCAUUUUGGGGAAGAUGAUAAGUUACUAGAGCUAUGUGUUCUCACACUUGUAGUCAUCAAAGGGAAUGAUGCUUCCUGGGUUUAAUUCAGAAAAUAUAAGUUACUGUCUUAUCUUUGCCAAUAGAUCUAGAAAGGGGCAGUCUGGAAAAGUGAAGCUUUGUGUGUUCCUGCCUUUAGGAUUUGAAAGAAUUUCAAUUUGCCAUAUUAGGUUUCAGUAUUGAUGACUGAUCUGAUGAUUCUAAUGUUGACUUUAGAGCCAUUCAGGGAUGUGAGACCAGAUAGGUUCGUAAUUUUAACAGACACUUUCUAAGGACUGUUGGCUGCAGAAUGGAAUAUGGUCCCUGUAUGCUUAGUGGGCCUUUGGAUCCAGUUUUGUUGGAUUCCAGCCCAUGAGGAAAUUCAAGGUAAUGAAAUAGCAGACCAGGCCAUCAAGGAUACUUCGGGCCAUAAAUAAAUUGAUAUUAAAUUGCCUUGGUCUUCCCACUGUUGGGAUAAUCAGGGGCAAAGAUGUUUGAAAAUGGGUGUCAGCAGCAGGGGUGUGUAUUCCUUUUGUCCAAAUUUUGGAGAAUUUUUGUUUUUUUAAUCAGCCGAUGGAGGUGAGAUAAGUUGGCCUGUUGUGGUUUUGACCAGCGGCGUAGCGUGGGUUGUCAGCACCCGGGGCAAGGCAAGUAAUUUGCGCCCCCUAACCCGGGAGAAGGCAAGUAAUUUGCGCCCCCUAACCCGGGGCAAGGCAAGUAAUUUGCGCCCCCUAACCCCUAACCUGCCGCCGCUGCCAGCUUCUUCUUGCUGCUGCCUGGGCUGGUCUGGUGUGGUUCUCUCCCGCGCUCAGCGCUGCGCUGGGCGGCCGCUGCACUGUCCCUCCCCCAGAUAGUCCCUCGCUCUCUCUCCGCACCGCACGCCUGGCACCCACCCCCUCCACAGUGGGCGGCGAGCCAGCGGCUCGGAUCCGGAUUCGCACAGCCAGCACUGCAGUGAGAGAGAGUGAGUGAGCCAGGUAGGGGCAGAGAGCUGCGAGUGCAAGCGUGCCCCCCCAGAUGUUGCGCCCGGUGCGGCCGGCCCACCCUGCACCCCCCACGCUACGCCACUGGUUUUGACAGUGCACUGUGCUCUUUGGAGUACCGUAAUUUGUCUAACAUAUAUUGGGAGAACUGAUUCUGGCCUUAGUGAACUAUGUUCAGUGGAGUAAACGGCUAUGCAUGUUUUCUAGGAUUGUACAGGGAUGAGGGAAUUUCUCCUUUGCACAAUGAAUGAGUUGGGUGUUGUGAUUUCAUCGCAGAUAAUGCCUUUUAGGAUUAAAAAAAAACCUUUGGGGUUCAGUGCUGGCAGUUCUGUGAACCUUCUUGCAGGUUAACAGAAUUUAUGACAGACUUUAACUGAGAAGCAUAGAAACGGGGAGGAAUGGCUGCUCUUACCUAAAUGGCUGAACCAGUGAGUACAUGCCCUAGACUCCUGUGAGGUCAUGAGGCAUCUCCAACUGGAAAACUAGUGCUGGUGUCUGCUUGUUCUAGUACCUUAGGAGCAUAAGAGAAGCCCUGUUGGUUCAGGUGAAAGGCCAGUUUAGUCCAUCAUUGCGUUCACAUAGUGACAACAAAUAUGCCUAAGUAGGAAACCCACAAUUAGGGCAUGAAUGCAACAGUGCUCUCCCAGCUUGUGAUUUCUAGCAACUGGCAUUCAGAAGCAGAGGGCCUUCUUGAUAGUGGCGCCUGCCCUGUGGAACGCCCUCCCAUCAGAUGUCAAAGAAAUAAACAACUAUCUGACUUUUAGAAGACAUCUGAAGGCAUCCCUGUUUAGGGAACUUUUUAAUGUCUGAUGUGCUACAAUCUUUAUAUGUGCUGUAAGCUGCACAGAAGGGCUGGGGAAACCCAGCCAGACGGGUGGGGUAUAAAUAAUAAAAUUAUUAUUAUUACUGCCUCAGACUGUGGCCAGUAGCAUUUAAUACCUUUGCAAAUGAGAACAUAAGUUCUUUCACAUACUUUCUGGAGUCAGGCCAUGCCUAUUGCAGUGGAAGAAAGUAUUUGCAUUAAGGCAGGGAAUUCUUUUACAUACAGAGAUUUCUGUAAAAGUGGUGCAAGAAUAAAGGUAACUAAUUAGUCUAAUCAAUUUCCAUCCUUUUAAGGCAGGCUUCCUCAACUUCGGCCCUCCAGAUGUUUUUGGUCUACAACUCCCAUGAACCCUAGCUAGCAGGACCAGGUCAGGGAUGAUGGGAAUUGUAGUCUCAAAACAUCUGGAGGGCCAAGGUUGAGGAAGCCUGUUUUAAGGCAUAUGUAUGGGUAAAAUUUCAGUGACAACAUCAAAGAGCCUACAUAUUUUAUGAGCUAACAUUUUUAUCUUAAAGUUCAGAAAUUUCAUAAAGAUGCUAUUUUUGGCCUGUGCUAACUAUUAAAAUAUUCAAAUUUUGUGCACAGUUUGCAACCUUGUACAGCUGAAGCUGUAUGGGAGUAAAUGAAGGGUGCAGAUGCGCUUCAUAACAGAGAGAUGGUAUGAAUAAUCAGCAGUACACAAAACGCAUAGUAGAUUUACAGGGGUGGGACGGGGGUGGGGAGUGGGAGAAAGACAUUGAAUAAAAAUGACAACUCCUAAUUUUGAUGUUUAAUGCAAUAAAAAGGUAUUUCAUUUCUCCCCCAAAAGAUGCUUUCUUAAGGGGGAAAAGUUCCUUUGUUGCUAAUUAUAAAUUUAAAGGAACUUUUUCCUGUCAAAAAUUGAACCAUAAUUCUCUGCAGGAGUUCCUAACUAUUUAGCAUAAAUGUCACUCCAGGCUCUUUCUGAAUUAUUGGUAUACUUAUUCCCUUGAAAGAUUUUUGAAAUGACAUCUUUUUAAAUUCCUUAAAUGGUGCCUUUUUAAAAAAGAAAAGAAAAAGAACUUGCUAUUUAAAAAUAUUUUAGUGGAAUAAACGUUCCGAUAGUUUGAAUCUGUUUUCAAUUGAAAACCACAAGUUUAAAAACUAUAAAUAAACAAAAUAUUCUAUCCUGGCUCCUACCUGGCGACGAAUGUGAACUCAGGUGAUGAUUUUUCCGGAAAGCUUUAAUGCUGAGAUUAGUGCAAUACAUAUGCAAAAACACUAAUUAAAAGCACAAAAGGCAAUACAUAUAUCUGCUCAAAAGCACACUUAUGCUAAGGCGCAGCAAGUAAUAUGGAUAUCCAAGCAACGGUGUUGAUCUAAGAUGUGCUCCUUGCAUUUCUCUUAUAAAGAAAUUGGGUGGGCACAACUUAGCGCUGCAAGCAGUUUUGUUCCUUUGCAAGCCAUCUAGCAUUCUGCCUUGAAGGCUGGACCUUCUCUACCUCUUCAUGUCUCUGCUGGUUUCUCCAGGACCUAGGUGAAGAGGAGGUAUGGCCAUCUGUCAUGGAUGCUUUAGUUGAGAUUCCUGCAUUGCAGGGAGCUGGACUAGAUGACCCAUGGUGUCCCUUUCAACCAUGGGUGUAGUCAAGAGGGGGCAGCUGCCCCCCUAAAUCAAUAAAAAUACAUAGCUAACUGAGAUUCUCCCCCCUCCCCGCCACAAAAAUCCUGGCUAUGCCCAUGCUUUCAACUCUAUAAUUUUAUGGGUCUUUGAUUCUAAGCUGUUACUAAAGUAAUAGCCCCUUCUCUAUACUUGCUCUGGUUUAUUUUUCACAUCUACAGUAUGUCUCACUCUUUCUGUUAGAGAUUCAGGUGACAUAAAUAGGGACUCUCCAGGUUAGCUUGAGGAGGUGUAAGUAGCUCAGGUGAGGUUCUUGGCAAGCACGGAUUCAGACCCAAAUCUCCAGUCUACAAGUCACAGGCUGUAACCACUGUAUAAGGCUUUGCCAAGCUAGUGCUCUCUGGAUGUUUGGGAUGGCAAGUCCCAUCAGACCUGAGUGAUCCCAAACAUUUGGAGGGCAUCAGGUUGCUGUAGGAAGCUGUACGCUAUUCUAUUAUCAGUUGAUUUGUAGUUCCGUGAGUCAGAUUUAAGUUUGACUUUGCUGAUAUGGCAAAGGCCUUAUUUCCGUGCAGUUCCCUUAAACAUAGCAAUCAGGAGGAAGCCUUUCAUGUAGGAGAAGCCAGUUUUACAAACCAAGCCAGGAACAGGUGUUUUGCAAAAAAAUAAAAUAAAACUAAACCCUACUUCAACUUUUUCAAUAUGUUUGAGAAUCAUGAUCCUGUGAAACAUUUUUAAUGGAAAUACUGUAGGGGAGAGAAACGGCACAGCAGAAAGGCACAAGUUAAUCAAAACUCUCAGAUGAAAAGUUACUGAUCCUAAAAAAAAAGAAGUCUAGUAACUUCUAGUUUUUCUCUGAUCCGUGUGUGACUUUUCUAUUUAAUUUGCUUAAGCUUGGCAAAGGUGGACAAGGAAGAAAGGUUUUAUGAGAGAGAUUAUUUUACAGCGACACAACCAGAUUGAGUCAUUUGGAAAGCUUUAGCUUUACACUGUGGAAGUAUUUCUGCAUUAGAUUCAACUGCAGAGAAGGCAGCUAUGUAACUUUUUUGUCGUCUUUUAAUAGAAACGGAACCAUUUAGCACAAUCUAGAAGACAAGGCACAAGCUGCGCCAUCAGCUGUUCCUUGUUCUAUGCAGUCCAAAAUUCUGUUCUCGCAGUGGCCAGCCAGAUACCUAUAGGGAAGCCUGCAUGCAGAAGAAUGAGCUCAGUAGCACUCUCCCGCUUGUGGUCUCCAGCAACUAGUAUUCAGAGACACAAUGACUCUGAUAUGGCAGGCAGUACAUAGCCAUUGUGGCUAGUAGCCACUAAUAUCCAACAUGAAUUGGUCUAAUCCCCUUUUAAAGCCGUCCAGGUUAGUAGCCAUCACUACCAUCUUGUGGCGGCAAAUCCCAUAGUUUAGUAAUGCAGUAUGUAUUGGUCUGUUCUGAUUUUUCCAACAUUCAACCUCAUUUGUAGGCCCAGGGUUCUAAGUGUUGUGUGUGAGUGAGCAAAUUUUCUACCCACUUGUUUCACACCGUAAUUGUAUACACUUCUGUCAUGCCCCCCCCAAACCCACACACCAAUAAAUUGAUAAACAUUUCCUAAUAGGAGAAUUGCUUUAGCCACUUGAUCAUUAGGGGAAUAAUUAAUAUAUUAUACUUCUGGGAGUGGAAUAAGGAGGCAAAUUGUAGAGGUAACCAGCCAAGGGCCACUUUGUACAAUUAAAACAGAAAAAUAAUUCCCAAGUGAUGUUCCAGAGCAUACUUGUAGUUCUUGUGAAAAAACCUACUACUAAGUCACAUGAGAAAUAAAUCAGUUAACACUGAGUGCUUUUCUGCCAUCCCACAGAGAAACCAGCCUACUGCAACCAACCCUUCCUGAGGUUGUUGUUUUUAAAAUAAUUUUUAUUAACCGACCAAUCAAAUCAAAUCAAAUCAAAUCACAUCACAUAAAUUCCAAAUUACAAAGCCGAAUUUUUAAAUUUUUGUUGGGGGUACCCAUAUUUCAAGUUCCGAAGGGGAUCCAAUCAUCUUCUUGCUGCUGCAUUAAUGUCCACAAAUCUGUCCAAAUAAUGUUCAUAAUUCUAUCCAGUCCUAUCUUGCUGUUUCCCACAUCUCAUCUUGUUAUUUUCAUAUAUUUUUCCUUUCUCUUUGUGACCUCUUCUGAUAAUCUCCUUAAGCAGGUAAAAACAAGUUGUACUCCUGUGUGAAUUUUUCUUCUGGGUUAUUUUUCAACUCAGCUUCUCUGUACGGAUGCUCUUCAUUCUUCGGUGCAGCUCAAAUCAGGUGUACAGUGGUACCUCGGGUUACAGACCCUUCAGGUUACAGACACUUCAGGUUACAGACUCGGCUAACCCUGAAAUAGUACUUUGGGUUAAAAACUUUGCUUCAGGGUGAGAACAGAAAUAGCGUGGUGGUGGCUUGGCGGCAGCGGGAGGCCCCAUUAGCUAAAGUGGUACCUCAGGUUAAGAACAGUUUCAGGUUAAAAACGGACCUCCAGAACGAAUUAAGUUCUUAACCUGAGGUACCACUGUACUUGAAUUGUUCAAUCACUCAUGCUGCAGAGGCAUUACCUGCUUUCAAAGCAGAAGUGACAUGUCUGGUGGGGAGGAGCCACUACAUUACAUUUCUGGCAGCCAGGUUGCUUACUGAAAGGGGGAGGGGAUGUCUGUGGGAAGGAAGUGUGCUUUGGGGACCAAUCUGCGGAUGUGUUUUCACCACUCUGACCUCCCUGCCACCUCAUCCCUUCCCUUCUCACCCCCAGUAAGCAACAGAAACCUAUCUGCUGGGAAGCUAGGUUGAACUACUGUCUCAUCCGGUGAACUACUUCUGUUUCAAAGGAAUCACAUCCUCCCUAGCAGUGUUGUUUGGUCAUUUUGUUCUCUGGCAUGAAGCCAGAAUUGCACCCUCCUCUCCUGCUACAGCCAAUAUUUUUAAAAGUUUACUCCACCAUUCAGAUACCCACUCUUUCUCCAUGUGUUUAGCUUAUGUAUCAGCAUCAGCUGAAUUAAUUGGAUCGAGUUGUAAAACAUUUCUUGGACUGUAGUAUGGCAGACUGUGUUGUAUGUGUGCUGCACAUUUAACUAUUCUUCUCUUAUUAAAUACCGUAUUUUUCACCCUAUAGGACGCACUUUUUCCCCUCCAAAAAUGAAGGGGAAAUCUGUGUGCGUCCUAUGGGGCGAAUACAGGCUUUCGCUGAAGCUUGGAGAGCGAGAGGGAAGUCUCCAGGCUUCAGGAAGCUAUCAGCAAGCCUGGUGAGCCCGCUGGAGUUCCUGCAGGGCUCCCUAGGCUGCGGAUAGCAGCCUGCUGCAAGGAGCGCGGGCGCCCUGAAGCAGAGUGCCGCGUGCGCCGGGCAGAUAUCCGCAGCCUGGGGAGCCCUGCGGGAGUUCCAGCAGGGCUCCCUAGGCUGCAGAUAGCAGCCUGGUGCACAGAGCGCGGGCGCCCUGAAGCAGAGCGCCCCGCGUGCCGGGCCGAUAUCCGCAGCCUGGGGAGCCCUGCGGGAGAUCCCCACAGUCCUAUGGGUGCGUCCUAUGGGCCGGUGCGUCCUAUGGGUCAAAAAAUACGGUAUAAUGCUUCAAGUACCUCUUCUUCUUCUUCCUCCUCCUUCUCCUCUGCCAUAUUAUUGUUAUUUCUGUCCCUCCUUCCUCCUGAAGGAGCCCAGGGCAGCAAUUUACAAAAUAAUGAAACAAUUAAACAUGAAAAAAACCAACAACAACAACUCCUGAAUGUGGGUUUUUUUAACCAAUGGAAUGAAUUAAUUUUGUCCUCUUAAAGUUCAGAUAACACUACUUUGUUACAUCUGCAAUUUUUCAUAUUUUAUUCGUUGCCUGAUAAAAUUUAAUUAGGUUUUAUUACCUUGUGUAGUGAUCAAAUGCUUCUUUAGGCUUGCAUGUUACUGAUUAGAAAUACAGUGUAAAUGAGCCGUUAACUGACGCUAAAGAACUGCUGUGAUGAAUUUGACCAGAGCUGCACUUACUUUUAUUUAUUAUUAUUUAUUGAAUUUAUAUACCACCCUGUACCCGAAGGUCUCAGGGCGCUUCACAGAAUAAAAUCAAAAUAUAAAACUACAGAAUUAAUAAUCAAAAUAAAAACAACCCAAUAACCCGCCCCCAAAUAAAAAACAACCUCACAUUUUAAAGGGCAUAGGAUGUCAAUCAAAUCAACUAAAGGCCUGGUUAAAAAGGAACACAUUUGCCUGGCGCCUAAAGGUGUAUAAUGAAGGCGCCAGGAGAACUUCCCUGGGGAGAGCAUUCCACUUACUUGUUUCUAUUUCUUGCCACCUUUUGCUGUUUGUUACUUUGUGCUGGCUUAUUUUUCCAGUCUGAAGUAAACCAAGAGCAGGUAAAGCAGGCAGCUUUACCUGCAGCAAUUGCAUGUUGAUUGCCCUCUUAGAAGACAAAGUCCAGCAACUGGAGGAACGUGUAACUACGCUUUAAAGAAUUAGAGAGCUGGAGCUCUUCUUGGAAGCAACAGAGCACACCGUCUCCACCAAGGAGGAGACAGGGGACUCCCCUGAGAAGGAGGCUAGUUCACCAACACAGGAGCCAGAUAUAUGGAGAAAUGUGACUCAAAGAAGUAGGAGGCCCAGGGUUCGCUCUGAUUGUUUAGAAAUACACAAUCGCUUUGAGGUCCUCGCCCCUAGCAUGGAAGACGAAGAGCAGACUCCAUUUGAGGAUCUCUCCCUCAUUACAGUCGAUCAGGUAUAUGAAGACGAGCAGCAAAGUCAUUCCUCAGGGAAUGUGCAAGCGACCUUGGAACGGACAGCUCAUGGAAGAACCCCGACCAAACCUAAGAGGAGGCGUGUAGUGGUGAUAGGGGAUUCUCUACUGAGGGGAACAGAAGCAGUGAUCUGUGGGCCUGACAAGAUGUCUCGGGAAGUGUGCUGUCUCCCCGGGGCUAAGAUCCAAGAUGUAACUGAACGACUGCAAGGAAUCAUAAAACCCACUGACAAAUACCCCUUCCUCUUGGUUCAUGUGGGAACCAAUGACACUGCAAGCAAUAGCCUCCAGAAGAUCAAAAGAGACUACGAGGCUCUGGGCAGGAAAUUGAAGCAAUUAAAUGCACAAAUUGUCAUCUCAUCUGUCCUCCCAGUUGAACAACGUGGCCCAGGGAGAGAGGGAAAAUAGUGGAAGUGAACAGCUGGCUUCGCAAAUGGUGUAAACAGGAACGGUUUGGAUUCUUAGAUCACGGACUGCAGUUUCUUGAAGAUGGACUUCUGGCAAGCGAUGGGCUGCACCUCACAACGGUUGGGAGGAAUGUUUUUGCCAAAAAUCUCAGAAACCUCAUCAGGAGGGCUUUAAACUGACUAACGUGGGGGAGGGAGACAGUGCUCCUGAAGGCAGGAGUCUAUCAAUUGAUGAAGUUGAUCAUCCAAAUGUCAUAGACCAAAUGGAGCAAACAGCACCCAGACCUAGUGGUGGGAGGAAAAAAUCCUUAAAUAAGAGACACGGGGAAUGAUUAAUGGACUUCAAUGUCUGUACACUAAUGCGCAAAGCAUGGGAAAUAAACUCGGAAAAUUAGAAUAUCUUGGAAAAGUUCAUUUAUUUCAGUAAUUCAACUUAAAAGGUGAAACUAAUAUAUGAGAUAGACUCAUGACAUGCAAAGCGAGAUAUGUCAAGCCUUCAUUUGUUAUAAUUGUGAUGAUCAUGGCGUACAGCUGAUGAAAACCCCAAAUUAACCAUCUCAGAAAAUUAGAAUAUUAAAUGAAAUCAGCAAAACAAGGACUGCAAAUAGAGCAAUAUUGGACCUCUGAGAAGUAGAAGCAUGCAUAUGUACUCAGUACUUGGUUUGGGUCCUUUUUGCAUCAAUUACUGCCUCAGUGCGGUGUGGCAUGGAUGCUAUUAGCCUGUGGCACUGCUGAGGUGUUAUGGAAGACCAGGAUGCUUCAAUAGCAGCCUUCAGCUCGUCUGCAUUGCUCUGUUUCAUGUCUCUCAUCUUUCUCUUGGCAAUGCCCCAUAGAUUCUCUAUGGGAUUCAGGUCAGGCGAGUUUGCUGGCCAAUCAAGCACAGUAAUCCCAACCAGGUUUUGGUACUUUUGGCAGUGUGGGCAGGUGCCAAAGUCCUGCUGGAAAAGGAAGUCAGCAUCCCCAUAAAGCUCAUCUGCGGAAGGAAGCACGAAGUGCUCCAAAAAUCUCCUGGUAGAUGGCUGUGUUGACCCUGGACAUGGCUGAUGACAUGGCUCCCCAAAUCAACACAGACUGUGGAAACUUCACACUGGAUGUCAAGUAUCUGGCAUUGUGUGUCUCACCAUUCUUCCUCCAGACUCUGGGUCCUUGGUUUCCAAAUGAGAUGCAAAAGCUGCUCUCAUCAGAAAAGAGAUUUGGGGAGCCAUGUCCGACUUUGUUUAUGGAAAAGCACAUCCAUCUGACCUCUGAAGAGUUUUGUAAGUAAAACAUUUUAUAACUUACUCUAUGUGUGGUCUUAUCUGUGUGCUAGGGAAGUAGGAUACUUUGGGAUUCACUGGAAAGGGCACAUUUUUAAUAUUUUACAGCCCUUGCCAAAGAGUACUUGCUCCAAACUUGUCUUAGCUUCCAACAAGUAACAAGUUGGGGGGAAGGUUUCAGCCUAGUUUUCCCCCAACGAUGCUACAUUUCAACAGUGAAGGAUUUGUAUGAGAGAGCAUUCAAAAACAUAUGUCUCCUCCCUGCCUCCAUUUUAUGUUGCACAAGUAUCCCCUUAGCAAAUUUCUGUCUUAGUUCACUGGUAUUCUAUACAGUGGUACCUCGCAAGAAGAAUGCCUCGCAAGACAAAAAACUCGCUAGAUGAAAGGGUUUUUUGUUUUUUGAGCUGCUUCGCAAGACGAUUUUCCCAGGGGCUUGCUUUGCAAGAUGGAAACGUCUUGCAAGUUUGUUUCCUUUUUCUUAACACCGUUAAUACAGUUGCGACUUGACUUCAAGGAGCAACUCAUAGAACGCGGUGUGGUAGCCUUUUUUGAGGUUUUUAAAGACUUUGGUGAUUUUUGAAGCUUUUCCAAAACUUUCCCAACACCGUGCUUCGCAAGACAAAAAAAAUCGCAAGACGACAAAACUCGCGGAAUGAAUUAAUUUCGUCUUGCGAGGCACCACUGUAUGUCAGUUUAUCUGCUGUUGCUUAUCUGCUGAACUUGCACAAGGAUGGUCCUACCACUGAGUGAGACCUAAGGCAGCUAAUGGUGAUGUUGUUGUUGUUUAGCCGUUUAGUUGUGUCCGACUCUUCGUGACCCCAUGGACCAGAGCACGCCAGGCACUUCUGUCUUCCACUGCCUCCUGCAAUUUGGUCAAACUCAUGCUGGUAGCUUCGAGAACACUGUCCAACCAUCUCGUCCUCUGUCGUCCCCUUCUUCUUGUGCCCUCCAUCUUUCCCAACAUCAGGGUCUUUUCCAGGAAGUCUUCUCUUCUCAUGAGGUGGCCAAAGUAUUGGAGCCUCAGCUUCACGAUCUGUCCUUCCAGUGAGCACUCAGGGCUGAUUUCCUUCAGAAUGGAUAGGUUUGAUCUUCUUGCAGUCCAUGGGACUCUCAAGAGUCUCCUCCAGCACCAUAAUUCAAAAGCAUCAAUUCUUCGGCGAUCAGCCUUGUUUAUGGUCCAGCUCUCACUUCCAUACAUCACUACUGGGAAAACCAUAGCUUUAACUAUACGGACCUUUGUUGGCAAGGUGAUGUCUCUGUUUUUUAAGAUGCUGUCUAGGUUUGUCAUUGCUUUUCUCCCAAGAAGCAGGCAUCUUUUAAUUUCGUGACUGCUGCCACCAUCUGCAGUGAUCAUGGAGCCCAAGAAAGUAAAAUCUCUCACUGCCUCCAUUUCUUCCCCUUCUAUUUGCCAGGAGGUGAUGGGACCAGUGGCCAUCACAUCGCCAUCACAUCGCCACGGCAAGGCAGUGAUCCAUGAAGGGGGCCAGUGGUGAUAGCUAGUGCCCAUUGGCAUUGGUGGGGCAGAAGUCAGGGCGAGCUACACUAGGUGGAACCAGAGGCAGUGACAAGCAGAGCAAACUAAUGAUAAUUUAGUCCCUAUCCUCCUCCCUUCUGAGUUCUACCUGGGCAACCCUGGGGCUAAGGAUAAGGAAGUUGCCACAGUCAUUAAGAAAACUGACUGGUUGUAAGUAUGAAGGCAGACAGGGAGAAAAAGACUGAGCUUAGUUCCCACGGUGCCCAUUGCUCUAAUGAACCAACCUCCGCUUGUAGGCAGCUGGGUUGGCAUGUCAUGAAAGUACAGCAAAUAGUUAUUUGAUAGAUUAUUGUUAUUUUUACUUGGGGGCAGAGGUGCUUGUGGGAUUUUCUACCUCAGGUGCCAAAAUAACUUGUGUGCUGUGCCCUUUGACUGGCAAGAGAAGGAUCUCAGUUUGCUGCUCUGCCUCAGGCAGUAAAAUGGCUAGGGCUGGCCCUGGCAGAGUCAGCGGCCAGUUACUUUGGAAAGGAUCAAACAGUUUUAAGCUGGCGGAGGCACACUUUAGAAAUCUCUGUAUUAUAAUCAAAGCAUCUGUAUGUUUCGAAAGCCCGACCACAGCCAUACUCUACUGUCCCCUUAGGUAACCGGCUAGCAGUUGAACAGCCAUGUGCUGCUACAGUCGACUUACUUUCCCAGUGACCCAUGAUAUCAGCCUGCUCCUGCCUGCAGCCCUUACUUCUGCUUUGUUAGACAGCCUGAUGAGACUGCCUAUUGAAAUUCUUCCUUUUCAACAUCAAAGAGACGAGCUGUGCUCUCCAGCUUUUUAAUAGAUUCCGUUAUAGUGGAGAUCACUGAUUCAUUUUCACCAGAGAUAGCCAGUCAUUGUAAAGAGCAAUUACAUAUAAUGGGAACCUUGUGGUUCUUAGACACUCUUUUAACAAACACACUGUGCUUACCCAGACAAGGGAAUGAGCUAAUAUAUUGGUAGUAGAGCAUGGUGCCUUUCUAGAUGGCUUUGCUAACUAUUUAUUAAAUUUAUAGGAAGUUAAUCAGCAUGUUAGAAAAGGGUGUAUAUGAGACUCUACUGUGUGAUGUUUAGAGAAUGGCUUUGAAUAUUUUUUGUCUGUAGGCCCCAAACCUCCUGAUGCAGUGUGUGUGAAGUCUCAUUCUGAUUUUGCUACACGAGCUCACUGUCUUACCCUUGUUAAACCCCUUGUCCUUUCUGCCUUUGUUUCUUUGGAAUUAAGAUGAUAAUAAUAGUAAAAUCUAUACUACACAUGUUAAGGGAUAUUUCUGAAAUUUCCUCUCUCCAAAUUGCCCCCUGGAACCUGGGUUUCUAUAUUACAUUUUCCUGGUUGUCAAACAGCAGCAGUACAUUUGUUUAUCUGCCCUUCUUUUGGCACAGAUUUUUGGAUCUUGAAAUCAUUGCUGGCUGUGUAGAUUUUGCAACUGCUGCAGCUUUCCAUAACUUUCAUUUUUUGCUUUGACCCCUCCUCCCCUGCACCUCCAUAAAAAUAAUGCACACAAGCAACUGUGUGCAUUGGAACACUGGGCAAUUUUUUUCUAGCAUGUGAACAUGGGCACAAUUGCAUCAACAACCUUUUAGCUAAUGGAAAGCACUGGCGCACAUGAGCUAUAGGAAAGUGCCCUCAUUUAACCCUGAACGGAUUGCUGGUGCUCAUCUGUUUUCCCAUUUUAAAAAGCUUUCUCAGACUUGCUAGUGCUCAUCUAUCCUAGGGAUCCCUAUCCUUAGCCCUCUUUUGAUACCUUUGACUCCUCCGACCCUCCAUAGUCAUAUUUCAUAGCUUUUCAACCCAUACAGCCAGAGGUGUAAAUACUGAAAAAGUUGUCAAGGAGGAGCCAGCAUUUCUAUUAUCCUGGGGGUUGCUUGUAUGGUGGAAGGACUGUGAAAAACCUGGGGUUUAUGAAGGCUUAUUAAUGCAACCAUAUAGCAUCCACAGACCUUGAGGACUGCAAUAUAAUGGACCACAUUCCCAUAUGGUUUUUAAAGAGUAAUAGGUAUGGAAUAAUCCUGAUUGGGAACGCAAUAGGGACAGAGGGUUAAGACCCCCUUACAAGCCCCAGGCUUGUUCUGGUCUGGAUCCAGGUCUCCCCCAUGCUUGCUAUGGUGUGACACGUUAGAGCCACAGUUUGUUUUUCUCCUUGAACAUGAUGCUUUUCCUGCGCUAGGCUCCCAUAUCCAGUGGCAAGUCAUGUAGAGAUAAAUCGCCAUGUUGAGGCACUGAAUGAUGUGUCUAAAAGCCCUUCCAGCCUCAGAAUGGAUUAGGGUACUUUCAGCAUAAGGAGUAGGAAAAAUGGAAUCUGUCAGUGUAGUGUUCAUCCCAUCACUUUUCUGUACCAAGCACAUAAGAGAAAGCUUAAACAUUAGCUCACAGUCCAAUCCAGAGAAUGAGAAUGAGAUGCUGCUACACUCUGUGCUGGCAAUUCUGCUCCAUUCCAAGCAAAACCCCUUGAGAGACUGAAGCUGCAAUCCUAAGCAUCCUUGCUUGGAUGCGCUUAACUAGGGAUGGAUAAAUCCUUCCAUUUUGGUUUCUCUCAGUGACUCCAUUUCCCAAUCCUAAGUUUCAUUUAUCACAUUUCUACAUCACUUGGUGCGGUGGGUUUUUUUUUUUUUUUUAAGAAUCCUCAUGAAAAUCCAUGUUAGUGUGUACUUCUCCUAAUAUGCACAAUUUUGUCUAAUACACAUUUUUUCCCCAAGCAGUUUCUCCUAAUAUAAUUUUUAAAUGUUAUUUUCACUAAUAUGUGCAUUUUUAUGCCCUUUCCCCCAAUACACAUAUUUUCCCACAUUUUCAGGCUGGAGAAGAAAAUUCAGAAAAUGUGAAUUUCAAAGAAUAACUAAGUUUCAAUUCAUGUAUUGUUUCAGAAAGUCUGAAUUAGGUAAGUAUGCAUUUAAAAGUAAAAUGAACAAAUUUUCUCCACCAUCUCCACUUUACAUUGUAAGGGGCAUUUCUGAAUAAGCAUGUCAGGCUGUCAUAAAUCAGCUGUACGUAGUUUCCUCUGUGAUGAGGGUUUCCUGAGCUGAAAUAGCAUUAUAAUACCCCAUAUCUGCACUGUCUGUUUGGCUCUUCUCAUUCCUGUUUUAUUUAAAGCUAUUUGUCUACCACAGGAUGAGGAAUGAACAAGCACAGAUGGUCAUUGGAUUAGGAUCUGGGUUUGCAUGUUUUAAAUCUUAUCUUGUUUGCCUUGACAACUAAUUCCAGGGUCCUCACAGAUCAGGGCAUAAGGACUUUGCACUUGUUUAUGAACAGUGAGUUUUCAGAUUAGUUGUGCUAAAAGUGCAUCCUUUUGCCUCUUAAUAUUGUUGGCUAGUAUUUUCUUGCCUAGUAGGUGACAGAUGUAUGGAUUGUUGGUUUCAGUGUUCGUGAUCCACCAUUGAGCAGCAGACAUUUCCCAUCAUUAUUCUUGUUUGUGCAGCUUCUGAGACAUAUUUGGAUAUUGAAGUCCUUGAUUUAUCUACAGGCUGGAAACCAGAUACAUAUCAAGGACAGCAGGAGGUUUAGAAUUUUUUUCCUCAAAGGCUACUUCGUCCCUGUGAAACAAAGAAUAACAGUGCCCACAUCUAGCACUUUGGUUUCCAUAGAAAAAACAUCUUCUGCUCUCUUCUGUUGUGCUUAAUAUUCACUCACUACUUACUAUAAUUACAAGUGAUUACUUGCACCAAUACAUUUGGAUGGUUAUUUUUUAAUCACUAGUUCCAAUCCAGGAAACAAUGAUUAUACCAGAAGACUGGAAAUCUAUUGCCAUUUUAUAGGAAUGCCCACCCAACACUCUCCAGCUAAGCAGAUUGAUUAGUGUUGAUCACUACUUAGAUAAAAGCAUGUUUAGGAAAGGGCAGUGGGGCUGAAUAUGACACUUGCUUUGCUUUCCCCUUGGUUUAAGGAAUGUCUAGUGAUGAUUAUUUCUUAACUGUGCCAAAGAUAGCAGAUUCAACUUUCUCUUGUUUUGCCUCCCUUUGCUGCACAACAGCAGAAGAGAAAGUUCACACGUGGAAACUUGCUUUUGCUCAUUUAUCACUCCUAGAUCAAGUCAGAUAUGGAGCUUCCUGGCCUUUGCCUUUGCACCACUCAUUCAACAGCCUCCCUAUUCCUAAAUACUGAGUGAGGCUUCACCCCUGUCCAACCAACCAUCUCCUUCCCUUAUUACAAGUCCGUUGAUUCUAAUCAUUCUGUGACUCAUCACUUUUCUUUCGUGGUUGCAAUAUUUGUGAAUGCUCCAUAAUUCAUAAGCCUCAGGGAAGUGCAGUCUUUCCUCAACAAAACUGCUUGAGCCAAGAGCUUUUCCUAGUUAUGUCCCUUACAUCUCUUCCGAGCUAGGUAAGAUUGUGCUACUUCAUAAUUAAAAGCCUGACCCCAGGCCUUCCUGCAAAGAAAUUGAGCACCUGAUAUGGCCACCCAUUUAGCCAUAUACUUUACAAAUUAAUCCACAUGGUCUUUAAAAUGCAAGCUCCAACCACCAUCUUAAGUACUGUCUUUAUAUUACUUGGCUACAUGAAUCUAGCAUCUAUUUGCUCUUGUCCCAAAAUGUUAUUUCAGGGUUGGAAUUCAUCUGGAUAUUUUUUAGGGCAAGAAGGAUGGGCUUCAUGGAGAAAUAGCAGACUUAAAGCCAUUUCAAAUAGGUCAUAACUUCUUGGCCUGGCCUACAAAAAGGAUAACACCAUCAAACACUUGAAGACCGUGUAUUAGAUAAAUAUAAGAAUAGUGUCUUUGAGAAGGAAACAAGAAAGAAACAUUUUCCUAAUUCUUUUCUCAAGCGCUUUUCUGAUUACAUUAGCAUAAAGGUUUUAGUUAACAGCUGAUGGUGAAGCCAAAGAGAAGGAACAUGGUUUACUGAUGUGCAAAUGCUGUUGUUGAUGCUUCAUUUAUCACUUGCCAGGGAGCAUAAAAAACCUUGGGGAGAAUUCUUAAGGGACAUCUGUGCCAUCAGAAGUGACAGGGCCCUUUCAGUGGUGGCAUUACAUCUCUGGAAUUCUUCCUAGAGAUGGGAAGGCCGCUCCUAUUGUUCUCUUUGUUUUCUUUUCAGUGAUGGCUAAAGACUUUUUUUUUUUGACCAGGCCUUUUACAUACUCCAAUUUCAUUGAAAUUUUAACACUGGCUACAUAUGUAUGUUUUGCCUUUCUUUGUUUAAUUUUAUUUUGUGGGUGGGUGUGUAAAAUGUAAAUCCCUCAGAACUUCCCCCCCUUUUUUUCUUUUUGCUAAAGAGCAGUGAUCUUAAUUAAAUUACGUUAUUAGUUAGUGAGCCUUACAGAUGAUUCAGGCCCAGUUUUAAAUCAUACAUUUUUCAGUCUAUAGGGCAAAAAUGUAUGAUAACAUUGAUGCUGUUGUUGUUAUUUGAUCUUCCUUUUUAAGAACACAUUGAGAAUAAAUUUUUCUCUCUUUGUAUGUUUAUACUGUUCACUAUUUGAAAUAUUCAUAUAUCUUUGAUAUAAUAAAAUGCUUUAAAAAUCACACAUUACAUUUCUUUGCACACUCAAGAAUUAAGUCAUGGCACUACAAAAUAGUGUGAAAAUAAAGUCAGCUCCCUUGGAUUUAAAUGAACAAAGUACUUUAUAUGAGCUUUGCAUCCUGUGACUUCAAGCCUUGCUGGAAAUAGAUAUUGUGAUUGACAUGCUACCUUAACACUAAUUUUUUAAAGUUAAAGUGUCUAAUGAAAUUAAUCAUUGUAGCCUGAAGGAGACAGUUCAGAACUUGCUAAGAAUCACAUUUGUCUGAGCGGAUUUUAGAACUUGCUUGGACUAAUUUGCAACUGGCAAAUAUAUCACUGUCAGCCAGUUCUGUAAAGUUUGGAUUUGUAAUCUUUUGAACCAUCAAUGCAACCCAAGCAUCACAGUGAAAGACUUGGGGAAUAAUGGAAACAUUGAUGCAAAGCAUCUAACACCUCAGCAGUGAUUCCCUUAAUAAGGAUGUAUUGCUGUGUCUCUCUUUUAUCUAAUUGUACUUAUUUGGAGUCCACCUCAGGAAGUCGGGGAGAAGUAGAGAGUACUACAUUAGACCAAAACAAGAAUUCUCCAAGGUGAGAAAUUGGCAAGAGCUCAAACACCAUACAUUAUUUCUUUUAACAGUUUGAAUGCAUAUUUUCCCCCACUUAACAUCUUGAGGGGGUGUAACAAGCGCUUAGGGUCAACUGCUCAAGAAAUCCCACCGACUUUAGGAGUCUCCGUCACAGCUUCCCUUUUUUGAAGCAAAGUAAAUCUCUAGCCCUUGUUGUACGAGCUGCCCUUAUUCAAGUCUCAAACCCAAAGGUUUCUGUGGGCUAGGAAUAAGGCUUCUGUAGCCUGGCUGCAAAUAACACAAUCAGAAGCUGCUUGAAGAACCACGAGCACUUGAAUAAGCCCCCAGCAACCUGCCUGUUAAAAUUUUACCUUUAAGACUAGCAUUUGUAUGAAAACAUUGUUUUGCAAUUCUGCAUGUUGCUUUGUUACUAGCUUCUUUCUUUAGUGUAUUAAUUUUGCUUUUAUUAGAUGCCGCAUUGUCAGCUGCCUUGAGCAAAGUUUCUAAUUUUAAAUUAAAUUAAAUCAAAUUAUGCAUUUUAAAAUGCAGCACUGUCAGAAUGCCUAAAUUAACACAGGAGAGUGGAGAAGGGUGUUAUUAAGGAAGAUAAAACCUGUUUGAUAAUAAUUGUCACCCCCCUUUUUUCUGUAUGUCAGUAAAGAGAGGUUUUUAUUUACUCUCCCAACUUCUCAGACCACAAUAUGGAGGGGCAAUGUUGUUUCCAAGUAAUCCCUUUCACUGAAAUGUAAGAUAUAUACAAUGUAAAAUAUACCUAGACUUUUCAGCUGUUGAAAGCCACGACUGGAUGUUUGACUUGUUUGUAUGUAAUUGUGACAUUUGGGAGAUGUGUUGGGUUGCUGGAUUUUCAGACAGCUCUCCACCAUGUAGGAGAGGUGCACUACCUACACACUUUGAGGACAAUACAAUAAUGUCCAUGCAUAUAAUAUCACCCAUGCAAAUAACCCAACAUUGUGAGCUGGAAUAAAAUUAUUGGAAAGCAAGUGGUUUUUCCUCCCCAAUGCUUGCUGAAACAGCUUGGAAUAAACCCUGAACUAAUCACUACACGGAUAAAUCUGUUCUGAGUAUAAUUGGACUGGAAUUGAAGCUGGACUGGUAAGUAGGUCUUAUAUAAGCUACCCUUAUAUAUGGCUCACAUGCCAUAUUCAGAGCCUUGCAACUUUCCCAAUACUAUUUACAUGGAGCUCCCUGCUCAAUAUUUACUAGAUAAACCCUACUUUGAAUCACAGUGUUUUUGUAUCUGCAGUCCCAUCCCAAGAUCUUGAUCCUCCAUGGUAAUAAUAGAGGUAUCUAUUUUUCUAAAGCUGGCAUGCAGUUAAAGAACAUGACAUAUAUUUCCUCAUGAGCCAUUAAGUGUCAUGAGCAGUUCGACCCUCAUAAGUUACAGCAGAAUAUGCUUUCCGAUGACCCAGAAAUCUAGGCAAAAGACUUCUUUUUCCUUACCCUUCUGCAGCUUCUCCUCAGUCCCACCUGCUUUUUGACUCCAGGGCUUGAAACUUCAGGACCAUUGCAAAUGUUCUUAGAAUACCUGUAUGGCUUUUAGAAGAAUAGUACAGGCCUAAGAUCAGUCUGUUGCUAGCAAUGGUACUGUCUGCUUUGGAGCAUUUGGUCAACAUACUAAAAAUGAAUGUGCCUUUGCAGGCACAUGACAUAUAUAUAAAUUACAACUGCCAUAGGUACCUUGAUUGAUUUUUGCAUAGAAACUUACAUGCACUGCUGCCUGGGAUUCCUUGUACCCAUGUGGUGGUCUUUAGCUAUAUAAAAGCUAGUUGCAUACUUAAGCUGCUGGUUAUGUUCAGUUAUGACAUAAAUGUCACAGAGGCAUAUCUUCUGGGCUAUCUGGAUUUCUGGGCAGGAGAUUUUCCUUGUUUGGGUACUUCAGCAAUUCCUUUCUUCUUCUUCCUCUGCCCAAUCAGUCAUUGUUGGGCUAAUGAGAACUGGCAUUUGGUCUAAUUAAUCUAAACGACUGUUGUUUAGUGGUCAUUGGGGAUAAGAAGUGUCAGGGCCUACGUUCUCCCUCAUUCUUACAGGAAUUAAAACAUUGCACCAUAACAUUAUUUUUAGGGGGAGGGAAUUAACUGCUAAAUCAAUGAAAGAGUAGAACAAGCAGUAGGGGCUAACUAUUCUUUGAUAGAUGGCACAGGCAAAAUUGCACAAAUAAAUAAACUAACACACUGUAUAUACUUCUGAGAGAGAAGGAAACCUCUAAUUUGAUGGCUUUCUGCUUUCUUGUUUUUUGCUACUGAGCUUUGCUUAGGAACAAUCCUUUUGGGCUACUCUGUUCCUUGUUGUUGCUUCUCAUUUUCCUAAUUGUCAUUUCUACAGGCAGGGUCAGCCACUCCUGAGCAUUUGGGGUAGUCACUAGUAAUCUUUGAGCUCCCAACAAACUGAUCGUCGCUUCUCAGUUUGGGCUGCUGCAAUUGAAAGAAAGAAAGAAAAAGAUGCUGUGUUGGGAAUAGGUGGCUCUAAGAGUGCAGUCACCCUUGUCUGGAAACAGCAGCUGUGGUUGCAUAGCUGGCAAAGGGACUAGUGGAUCACUAUCUCCCUGGGUUUCCCCAUGCAUGCUUGGUCAUCGGACUGGGAAAGGUGGUGAAUAGAUAAGGUGUUCUAUGGGUCAGGGCUCAAUAGGUUCAGUCUGUUGUUAUGCAUGUGGAAGGCUUGACUGCCCCUCCCUGUGCCACUGUGUUUGCAAUUGCAAGGCUGUGAUAACCAGGCCAACUGAUGAGCAUGUGAGGCCCAUAGGUAUGAUCACAUGCUUUUCUCAUCCACUCUCCAUCGAAGGGUGUUUCCCACAUCAUGAACUCCAUACCUGAUGAAGAAGAAGGCAGGCUGUCUUCGAAAAGAUUAACUCAUAACUUUCAUAGGAGGAGUAGAGAGGGACACUUCUGUUUCAUCCAGCCAUCCUCCAGCCCCUUCUUUCUGGGCUCAUUCCUGACGCAGGGCAAGGAGGCAGAGGUGCUGCCAUGCCCUUUCCCACACCUCCACCUUAAACACAAACACACACACCAAACCUGACAGUCCCUACUCACUAUGAAUUUUCCUAGAUUGCCAACUCACUUUGGCAUCCCAGAUCAAAACUGGCAAUACUCCUGACUGGAGAGAGGACAACUUUGGGCCUGAUUCAGUCCAUGAGGUGAAGAUGAUCAGAGUCAAACAGAGAAGAGUGAGAACUUUCAGGAAGGAUCCUUGCCCUCUCUCAGCAUAAGUUAUUUUGCCCCAAGGACUUAAUGAGACCAUGAAGACCCUGGAACUGGACCCCCUAUCUCGGUGGCAGCCACAUCACAAGGCUCCACCAACUGGGGUGGGGGGAACCUCAAGGAUCUUCCUAUGUAACAGACCUCCUUAUUUCAUUGUGCCAUACCCACAGUUUCUCACUGAUAUUCUCCACCUCUGGAAAGACCCAGGGAGACUAAGAGUCACUGUACGUGUUAGCUAAUAAACUCAUGGAUUCUCUCAAAAAAUCAUUUUAGGUAUUGUCAUGAGGCCUCUUUCUUUUUUAAUAGUCAGCACUCCAAACAUUGUCAUGAUUCUUGCCUCUCUUCUGUGAACUCAUGCCCCUUUACCAGAGGUGCAUUCAGGAUUUGAGAAUCUCUCUGAGAGAAGCAGAAAACUGGACUGGGCAGUAUAAUUCAUGGUAGAAUGCUGCCAGGGUAAUGGCAUCUGUGGAGUUGGGGUUGGUCUACAGAAACCUAUGGCUAAAGCAUAGGGAUCCAAGACUGAGCUGUCUGCUGCUCCAUUUCAAUGGGUAAAGUUCCAAAAUAGCACCUCAGAAGGAUGCAAAUAACAAGUGGGUAUCGCAGUCAUUUUGUUCCAAGGGUCCCGCCCCCUGCAAUUCCUCACCAGCCUGAUUGACCAUUAUGAGGCCUCUUGUCCUCCAGCUAACACCUGUCAUGCCUAAACUCAUGCUGCCACAACUGGGGCUAGAUUACCUCAGACAGAUGAGUUCUGGACACUGUAUAUCAUAGUUGCACCCUCAACUUCAAGUCUGUGUCCCAAAACAGAUACUUUCCAUUCCUGGUAUCUUUAGAAUGGAGACACAAAAAUCAGCCAUGGAGACCAAGGGAGUUUUGCGGCUUUCGUUUUGUUCAUGGAAGCUUAUCUCCAAAUCUUGAUUUACCUGGGCCACAGAAGCUUCCUGACGUCUGAGGAGAGAUGGUUUCAAUACUGAUUUGGGCUGUUGUAGAUUCUAUGAGUAUUCAUCAAAAUCACAAUACACAUCUCUGAACCCAAGGAAUUCAUCUACCCCCCCUUCUUUGGAUGGCCUUUUAGUGAGAUCCCUGGUCAAAGGCAGAAGUGAAUGUGAGCAUCCCCCUACCUGCUUAGAGAACCAUGGCUUUGUGAUAGUUUACUGUACCUGACACAGAGAAUACAGAGUUUAGGCAUCAUCCUGGAUAUGUUCAAAAAUAGAAUCUUCUGUUACAGGAAGAGGUGAGCAAUCUCCUUUGGAAGUCAGCGAGCACUUUCAGUGAAAUCUCCAACAGUCUUGAGUCUUGUCCAACUACAAGUUUACAUUCUAGGAGCCAGCAGCAUGGUAUCUUGAACAUGGUUCCUUGACAGGCCUUUGCAGCGGCUCCUUCAGCACCUGUAGCAGAUUGUCUGCAGCACCCACAUGCAGAUCACCAUUUCUCAUGUUACACCAUUCUCUCUUCAGUGGUGGCUGAAGCCCUUGUAUCUUGGCAGAGGGAUGUGGCGACCCUGUGGACCUGCUGGUUAGCUACCUGGGCUGAUGCUACUACCUUUGUACAGCACUAUAAUAUAGAUAAGUUCAUCUCAGCUAGAUGAGAAGGUUCUUAAGCAGCUAUGAUAAGUUUCUAGAGCUACACUCAUUGGACAUCCUUUACUGUUUGCGCCACUUGACUGUUAUCUGAAAAAAGACAGUAGGAGUGAAGUGCUCUUUUGGUCAUCAGGGAGGAGAACAGGCGGUCAUGCCUGCUUGAAAUUGUGAUGUAGGUGCAGCAUAUCACAUUUGUGUGUUAACCCUCCACACUUUAGUUAAGAACUCUUUUUGAACUCUACUUUCCUAUUCCUCCAUAGGCCUCUUCUCCUUUUAUACUCUUGCACCCUUGAACACACAUGCACACACUCUCUUUAUAUAUAUAAUAAAUAAUGUCCCACACUUAAAUCAAGAUCUGUGUCUGAGAUAAUCCAUCCUCCCCUGGAAGGACAUACCGGUAGUUUUGUUCUGAAAAAUUGGGCCUGCUUUAACCAUUUGCUUCCUGCUCCACUUCUUGCUCAAUUUCAUCAUAAAUCUAACUUUCCAUUUACAUAAUUUUACUUUAUUUUUUAAAGAAAAAAUAUUUAAGUGCAGAAUUAUAAAUGCAUCAAAGAAAAAUGAUAACUUCUCUACUGCAGAAUAUGAGGACCUUGUUUUCCAUGUGAAAUUGCUCCUCCUCUUCAUUAUGCAAUCAUCACUGGAGAUAGGAUUAUUAUUAUAGGAUUAUUAUUAUUAUUAUUGUUGUUAUUGUUACUAUUAUUAUUGCAGCAAAGUGAGAUUAUACCUUAAUGCCAGCAUUGACAGCACAGAAUACUUGCCAAUAUCAGUAAUCAUCCAGUAAGGUAAAGGUAAAGGGACCCCUGACCACUAGGUCCAGUUGUGGCCGACUCUGGGGUUGCGGCGCUCAUCUCGCUUUAUUGGCCGAGGGAGCUGGCGUACAGCUUCCGGGUCAUGUGGCUAGCAUGACUAAGCCGCUUCUGGCAAACCAGAGCAGUGCAUGGAAACGCCAUUUACCUUCCUGCCAGAGCGCUACCUAUUUAUCUACUUGCACUUGAUGUGCUUUCGAACUGCUAGGUGGGCAGGAGCUGAGACUGAGAAAUGGGAGCUCACCCCAUUGUGGGGAUUCGAACCGCCGACCUUCUGAUUUGCAAGUCCUAGGCUCUGUGGUUUAACCCACAGCGCCACCCGCGUCCCUAAUCAUCCAGUAAUCAUCCCUAAAUCUUUAUCUAUAUAUCAUGAAGAUUUUUGUCAGAGCCAUUGGGGCUAAAACCUGGAACCUGCAGAUCUAACUGGUGGUGAACCCCAGGCUGUAGACUGGUUUCCAUCCAGCCAGAGGAGCACAUUUCAAGGAAGUAUAUUAUUGUCCCUGAGCUGGUAGGGCCAUAAAAGCUUCUGGCUAAAUCUUGGAUUUUGCCUGCGCAACGAUCUGCUUGGAUAUGACUGCCUGAUAUUCUUGACUCUCCUUUGCAUGCUUCCCUGUGCUGGAUUGAUCUCAGCCCCAUUCCCAUAUACUUGUGCCUCCUUCUCCCCAAUAUAUGCCCAUGUCCCAAUAUUAUGACCAUGUAGCUUGAUAAUGACUUGGAAACUGUAUAAUGGUGUAAAGGUCGCUAGUCGUGUUCCCAAACAAAAACAACUCCACACACACCUAGGGAUGCAUUCAUUUCAUGCUUUGUCAUGUCCAUCUGAUCCCCUCCAGCUGUUUUUGAGUACAAUUCCCUUAAGCCCCAACCAGCAUGGGAUGAUGGGAGUUGUAGUCCAAAACAUCUGCAGGAGAUCAGAUUGGCAAGGGAUGGUACAAGGCAGCAAGCCCUCUCAGCAGAGAUUGUGUCAUCUCCUUUAUGUGCUAUCUCAAGUCAUAGGCUAGCGGUUGAUUCGGAGUAUGUAGAGAUACUAAACUGCAAAUUGGUCAAGAGAGGUCUGCAAGGGGGAUCUUGACUUAGUUUAGUAUGUAAAUGCUCAAUUCAGAGAGGUUCUGUAUCUGUCCUGCUUACUAUGCAAACCUGGUGCUCCUGUAAUUGACCCUUAACAUUGGAAUGUCUAAAUCCUAGUUUAAGGAAUGAGAAGGCACAUUUAUAGCCUCCUAGCAUUAGGACUACAAGCGAGGGAGGCAGCAGGGCUGAAUAUGCUAGCUCCAUCCCCCAGCACGAUUUCUGACACCUUCCAGCUCCUAGGGGUCUAUUUUUGCUCAUAUUAGAAUGGUGGAAAAUGAGCUCUAAACCAUGUGGAUAGCUUCCAUGAGUGCAGGAGGUUCCCCGCUUCACUAGAUCACCCCUCCUGAAUGGGAAGGUGAUGGGAACAGGAGACCCGAGACAGAGCUAACAUGUUUAUUCCUCUUGCCUUCCUGAUGAAGCUUUAUGUUAGUUAACUUCAUUUCUUCCAACAGGGGUGCUGUUGGAGCCUGCCCAAGGGUGAAUAACAGAUCAUACGUGCAAGAUUUCUUAUCAGGGUAUUGCCUCCUCUGUUACUUCUGACACCCAACCUGAAACUUGUAAUUUAACUGCACAUUUUAAAAGCAGCUGGAAGUUCAGCCAAGGAAGAUCCUGAGAGGGAGUGACAUGGAUGAUACCUGGUAUGUACACAUAAAUCACCACCUUUGAUUACAUCAGCAACAUGUUUGUUUGAGUGCUUUAUAUGGUAUACAAUAAAUCCUUACUAUAUAAACAAAGAUUUACAAAAUUUUAGUAGUUACACAAAAGAAGGGGAUCUUUAUAUGCCACAUCAUAAGGGCUGCAUCAGUAGUGGUGUAUCACAUGCAGGUUAUCCAAAAUAGUUCUUCAGUAUGGAACGCACAGGGAAACACAGCAGUUUUCAGCUGGGAGCAGAUCAUCCAUAUAUUUGCCAAUACAACUUCAUCACAAAAUUCAUGAAUUGCUUUUUAAAAAAUGUAUUGAAUGAAUAGACACUUCAGUAAUGUCCAACCGAUAACUAAAAUUGAAAUUUUAUUUUUUUUUCUUUAAUAAUACUCAGACAUUUCUCUGACAAGACUUUAAUGAAAGAUGAAGUGCAAAUGGGAACCCUGUAGAAUGUUUAUAAAAAUUGUACAUGACAUUUUUUUAAGCGCCACCAAGUACACAUUGAAUACUCUGUAAGUAUAUAGGCAUAGCAACAUGCAAGUGUCAUGUACCUAAUGUUACAAUAUGCAUUUUGUUCACUUAAAAUUAUGAAAAAGGAGUAAACAAAAAACAAAAGAAAACUGUGCUUCCAUUGUCAGUGCAACAUGCUUAGUUCUCCUGGGACUGGAGUAAGUGUUGAAGCAUCAGAAACAUUGCCAUGAUUUCAGGUGUUGGUGUCAAUCACACCAUAGUUCUCAGCCCAUUUUAGCCACCUUGCAGUUAAGCUAGUCACCUGGGGCUAGGCACAAUUGUGGCUUUUAGUGAGUUUUUUACCUAGUCCUUUUAUUCAGGUAGCCCUGGAAGACACAGAGACACAAAACACAUUGUGGGCUCAUAAUUUUUGCGUUUGUAUCCUUAAGUCUGUGUUAGAAUGGUCAAGUCUGCAAUCCUAAAAUGAUAAAAUUUGGAUCAACCAAAUAGGAAAUCUGUGAGACUACUUCAGUGGAACAGUUGGAAAAUUGGAAGAAUAUAAUAUUUUCCUGAAUGCACUCAUAUUUACGCAAGCAAAUCCUUUCCUGUGUAAAAAAUGAGUAUAAAGAAGGAAGAAACAAUUAUAGGAGUCUUUGAACAUCCUCGUUUUUGGUGAAAUUAUAAAGUGCAUUUUGGAUUUAAAAGGCUGGAAAGUAAUAUAGUGCAUAGGUCGACUUCUUUGUUUAAAAUGAAUGUUGCUUUCUUACUGUCUUCCCUAGGGAAUGUAUAGCCACUAACAGAACGUGGGAACCCACUGAAUUUGUACCUAUACUGUUUCAAGAUAAAGCAAACCUUUGGCAUGACUAUAUAUAUAUAUAUAUAUGCAUGCAUGAAAGUGUGCAACGUAUAGAAAAUAUAAUUGUAAUAUGUAUUUACACAUUAUUGCCAAAAGUUCAGGUACUGGUGGAAAAUAUAUUUUCAUAUGAUAUGGUUGGAAUAUCAACAUUUCUAAGCAGGAUCAGUAUUUGUGUUUCAUAUUAAUUGGUGCAUUAUUUUUACAAACACUUUUAAUUUAAACCACACUUAAUUUUUUUGGGGGGAAGCCUGCGUUAAUGCAAAGUACAGACGUAAAUAUUGUGCUGAGGUAAAAGGACAAGACCUUAUGUAAGAGAGAUUUCUCUUAGUCCUGAAUCCAUGUGAAGAUGCCUCUUAGUUGGUGUCUACUUUUUUCUGCACAUGGAAUCUUCAUCAGAAAAGUUUGCUUCUUUGCUUUAUGGCAACUUUAAAGGAUCUUGAAAAAAAUAUUCUUUAUUUGCCUUGGAACCAGAACAAUGUGUAGCGUAGGGAUUUUUAUGCUUUCUGCAUCUGCCAUGUAAGAGAACUCUGAGUGAAAACUUGUUUCACUGUGUAGGUUACUUUACACUGCACUGGAAUAUCAGUGUUUAUUGUUUACUAUACUUUCCCCUUCCUUUCUGUGUUCUGUGCAUUUUGGUUUGGGAACAGGACUGACAUUUGGAAAGAAUAAGCAGGCGUUUUCUUGUCUGUCUCAAGAUUUAAAAAAUAAUUAAUUAUAAUCUCUGUACUAGUGCUUUAGCAUUUCAAUUACUUAUAAAUGAACUUCACCAAUUCUUGCUGUCUAAACAGCCUGCUUGGCAAUCCUUGCUUCAUGAGUAGAUAAUCACCUAUGGUCUUGUAAAAAUAUUAAGAUGAAAGAAUAUUAGUUGCAUCGGCUAGAAUCAAAAUGUUUUCAUCCACUCUGUUUGGCUCCUGCUGUAGCCUCUCACCUAGAAAGCCACUGUAGUUUUUACCUCUGAAUAAGAGCUUACCUAUGUUAACUUAAGUGCUUAAAACAUUAUUAGAUAUUUGUUCAUUUACAUUUCUUCUAUCUCCAGAAAAGCAAAGAAGGAUUUUGAAAGGGGUUUAAGAGAAAGGAACUGAACUAAGCUACUAGCUCAUGCUGUCAGAUGGAUAUAUAAUGAAACUAUUUUGGAGUUUUAGAACAAUUAUAUUGGGGUAGGGGGCUCAAACUAAAAUCAAAUGUAUUGCUGACAUGUAAGUGAUAAAUGAAUUAUCUGAAGUCCAGUUUAAGAAUAAUUUCAAGUGACUGGAAAGGAAUAUUUCUAAACUUCAAAUAAAUUUAUAUAAUCAGGGAAGAGACAUGAAAAUGAAGCAAAUACUGAUCUUUUAAGUCAAUAAAUGAAACUUAAAUAACUCUACUGUUAAAAAGUGUUUGAGCCUCUUUUAAGUUAGAUGUAACUAGUAAAGCUGAUGAGUUUAAGGGUAUAAAUAAAUCCAGCAUAGAUAAAAUUUCAGGAAGCUCCUCACAUCAUCUUGGUUUAUCCUCCUUCUUUUUUGACAAGAGCAAAGAGAUCAUUUGGACAAGACUUUUUAAAUAAAAGCUAGUUCCUUAAAGACCCUGAGAAAAUGUUUGUAAUGUUUUUGCUUAUUACAGCUAUCAGUACUUGAUUUUUUUCUGUUUUUGUUUUAUAUCUUUUGUUAUGUAAAUACAGUUAUUAUAUUUUAAGGUUAUAUAUAUAUAUAUAUAUAUAUAUAUAUAUAUAUAUAUAGACUUCAUUCUCAAGUAAUCUGAUAAUUUAUUUCUAUACCAUACUUGUCAGGGCUCACAUGAAGUACAGGUUAUGUUCAUUAGCAAGCAGAAUGUGAAAACGUCUCUGGAAGAUACAACUAGCAGCAAAGGAACAUAGUUUUGACAAGAAGUGACUCCCAUAAAUGUCAGUGUCAAUGGUUGUGGUGUAGAUUCACGCUAGAGGUGUGCGGAUUGUCCCCCAUGUUUUUAUAUAUCCAUUGGGAAAUCCAUUGAGUGUCAUGGAUUUUUUAAAAAAACUUUUCAAACAGAUGCACAUUAUAUCAGUGCGUGUGCAUUUAUUAGCUGUGGGUGAAAGUAUACAUUUGAGCUCAAAUAGAAAUGCACAUCCUAUUGAGAGUAACUGAUGUGAUCUCCAAUGAAUAUUUGCACAAUCUGAUGUACCUUCAUCAUCUCUGUUUUGUUCUCUGCCUAGUUUGCCCAAGAGUUUGAGCAUCAAACUGCUGAUUAUAUUUUUGUCUGAUAGAAAAUUUAAUUUUAAAAAGAAAAAAAUUCACCAAUAUCUGUACUGAAAAUUGAAUCUGGUGGUUUAACACAACACUGUCAAUCUGUGCUAAGUAUCAACAUUAAUAGGAAGCAAGUAAUGUAAUGAAGACUGUUGUGAAAUCAUUAGACUAGUCAAAAGCAAUACCUAUGUGUAUAUGCAACAAUGUGUAAGACUUUACCUUGCUCAUGUGUAUAUGUGGAGUCAAGGUUUAAAAGGGCAGAAAACUCUGGAUGAUUAGAGCAGCUCAAGGACAUGAUAGAAGGGGCAGGUUUUUUAACCCCCAAAACAAAACAGGUUCAUUAGCUGGAGGGCAGAAUCUAAACAACAAAAGGGGUCCAUGUAAGUACAUUUAUUAUGGGAACUAGUUAAAAUUGCACAACUGAAAGUGGAAUGAAUAGCUUGGCCAAUAAUGAUAAUGCUUCGCAGAGAAGGAAAGCUAUAGUUGGAGAGGCUCAGGAGCUUUGCAGUGUUCAAUUUAACAAUAUUUCUUGUGUCUGUGAUUGUUCUGUGUUAUCUCACUACUUUCAAUGCAUUGCUUUUGGAAGGGUAUGAUGGAAAAAAUGACGAGAUGAAAAGGAUCAAUGAUAUAAAAUUUCAUGUUUGGAAAAAAGUUAACUUUAUCAUUAAAGGCAUCCUCCGUGGUUUGAUGGAAGCAUUUUGUACUCACAAUGUAAGAUUACCUGACGUUAUUGGGAAAUAAAUAGCAGAAAUUCCAGGUGAGGUGCUUCAGUGAAAUAGGGGUCAGGAGAAUGCAGUUCUCUCUGUGGCUCUCUUUCCAUUGCUCAAGCUAAAAAUACCAGGGCAAAUGGCAAUACUUUUCAACAUCUUAGCAUGCAAGGCUCCCUCAAGGAAGAUAAAAAGAGCAACCGUGUACUGUUGGGCUAGAAAUAGAUUACUGAGCAAUGUUCCCAGACAGAGUGCUGGCAGCAGAGCUAUUAGCAGAAUUGAAGUCUUUGCCCCAAAGGUGUUUGGAAGGAGCCCCAUGGGACCCAUAGAAGAAGACGAGAGACAAAAUAGAGUGGUAGUUGGGUUUCAAGGAAAAUACGGCUUACAAUAAAUUAAAUAUUAUUUGGAAGUGGCUGGGAAUAUACACAUAUUUAAAGACAAAUGGUCACUAUGCGUUUUCAUAGACCAUUCUUGAAUCUGCAAACCCAUCUCCUUCCUUGUAAAAUAAUCAAAAUGCAUAUUAUAAAUACAUGGUUUUCCAAUAUCCAUACAGAGAAAGUACAAGAUACUUACAUGUGAGUACACUGUAGUCACCUAUAUUUUUGCAUAGUUUUUAGUGUGUACUUUGUGCCACUUAACCCAAAGUAUUACUCGGGUUACUUCUGUUUAAAACAGCUUGUUUACAGAACAUUUGAGUAGCUGUUUUUUUUUUGUAUUUGGUAUGUUCAUUUAAAAAAAAAAUACCAGUUCUAAUGAAUGAGAAGCUAAGCUCCUUGGAGGAAUCAAGGAAAGUUUUGGAGAACAUUGUAGUGCGCCCAUGACAAUUCUUUUUAACUCCAUAUUUUUAAGUUUAUCAGAAUUACCUUAGCUCAACAGAGAGGUAAAGUUAAGAGUUAUGUUAUCCUUUUGGUAACACUUUAUAAUAAGUGGCACUAAAUUACACUAUAACUGAUGUUACAUGGAAGCACAUGUAACCACACGGUCAAGAUCAAAAUACCUAAUGUACAUUUGCGUACAUGGUAAUUCCAGUGCUUUUACAAUCAUAAAUUAAAUAACCUACUGUCCUUUCUUCUCACUGAGAGAUGCUUAUAGGUAGGUAGAUAAUCCUACAUCAUGAAGAACAUAUUCAAAAAGUCCACUUUGCUGGUUUAUAUAGGGAAAAAACCAACUGUUUUCCUCCUGUAUCUUUUAUAGGAGGAAUCUCAGCACAAGGUGAUCUGCCUUCCAUAAAUGUGAACAAAAUGGUAGGUGUUCCUGGUUCAUUUCUGAGCCUCAUAUUAUAUAUAUUUCUUAAACCGCUUCUUGGAUUUGCUAAUAACAUCUAAGAAUGAAAGAAGAUGCACCCAUAUUCUGUGAGAUGCCACAUUCUAUUAUUUAAAAAUAAUAAUAAUGAUAAUGAUAACAAAAUAAAAUAAAAUAACUAAUAUUAAAGAGAAAAUUGGCAAUAACUUGAUAACCUUUGACUGAUGAUGAGAACUGUCAUGUUCCACAUUUUCCUUAGUUGUUCCCAUGGGGCUUUCAUCAUUCAUGCCUGUCAAUUACUGUAAAUUAAGCAAUCAUUUCUAUUGACCUUUGGUGUCUUGCUCCCAGUGUAUUCAUCUAAACCAGGGGUUCUCAAACUAGGAUCAAAUGUAUACGAACAGAAAAACCUUAUCAGAUAAUAUGACUAGAAAUCGGGCCUAUCUGUAAAUCCAAUGAAUGUGUGUUGCUCUUGUCGCCUUAUUCACCAAUACUGGAUGCCCGACUUAUGGAAAAGGUAAUCUUCUACCCCUUUAUAUAGCUGUCAACUUAUGGUAUAUAGCAAGCUGGAGGUCAGCCAAGAAGAAAAAAUGAUACCAUGAAACCAGUCACCUCCCAGCCAUUUAUAGCAAACUAAGACCACCUUGAGAGCAAUGAUGUGAUUCUCCCCCCAGCUCUUUGCUCUGAUUGGUUUCUCCUUGCUUUCCUCCAAUCUCUAUUGGUCAAAAAGGCACUGAAUAGGGAGCAGAAUUAAUUGGGAUCUGCUCAGGUGCUAGUGCAAAAUCCACACAGAUCCAUGGAUACUGGUGCAAAGAAUCUUUGUGGCAGCACUGCCAGAAUUAUAGCUCAGUGUAUAAGAGAUUUUAUAUUGGAUUGUUGAACCCCGUUGAAUUACAAACUGUGUAAUAAAAUUAUAUUAAGAAAAUGUAUCGGUAUCUGUAUUAUUACACUCUGGUACAAUAUUGCUAGUACUUGUGCUAAAGUCAAAGACAGGGCUAGGACUUUAUAUUAAAACUAUGUUUAGCUUAUGGGAUGUUUAUUUUGUUAGAGAAUAGAUGGUCACUAUUCUGUUUCAAAAGUCCCCCUUUUCUCUCAAAGAAAAAGUUUGAGAACCUCUGAUUUAACUGGAUGAAUGCAGAUGAUUGAAAGUGAUGACAGGCCCGAAUUAUCCUCUUAACACUGCAUGAUGUACUUCCAUGUUCCUUUUUGGCCUGUUGUAAAAUACAUCUCAAGGUGCAAGGUAGAAUAUAUAUUCUAAAAAUUGACUGCAACAGAGUGCACAAGAAAAAGUUAACAGUCCAAUUCCUAUCUACUAUUGCAAAGUUCCACUGCUUUCCUUUUGCUACACUGACAAGACACUUUGGGAUGGUUACAUCUAAAGAUGCCCCAAUGCUUGAAAAAUUUCACUUCACAGUGAUGAAGAGGUGGGUCAUGUAAGCAGCAUUUCUAUAUCAUUUAAGCAAAAUGGAAUUUAUAAAGAAUGUAAAAAUGUGCAAAUACAGCACUAAUUGACAUGUGACUUUAGUAAACAUAAUCCUAAUGCAGCAAGGCAUUUAAGCACAGUUAAGUUCUUUGCUGGCCUUGCCAUUAGUUCCAUAAAUCAGUUUCUGAAGGUACAGCUAACUGCUGUGACAAACACCUUUUCUUCCCAGUAGUAGCAAGCUUAAUUCCUUUUGCCAGUAUUGUUUUAAAAAAUGUACUCCUUGAACAACUUGACUAUGUUGUAAACCUAUACUAGUAUCAAUGUGUCUAGUAGCUCCUACCUGAAUCUCUCAAACUACCAUACUAGAUUAGCAGAUUAUUGCAUUUUCCCCCCACAGAUGAUCUGGAGUGAACGGUAAAAACAAGCAUGCAAUCACAUCAAUGCAGACGUAUUUCUUUAAAAUGUCAUACUGUAUAUGAUUUAUUAUGUUAACACUCAACCACAUCAUAUUAUUUAUGUUCUGUAUACUUUGAAAAAGUGCUGCUUGAUUGAUGGUCUCUCUUUUUCUCUCUCAUAGAAAUUAACAAGGUAAAUGUUCUUUUUCCAACAAAAACAAUUUAAAAACUACUAUUGUCCUUAAAAGGUGUAUACUCUUCUGAUAAAUAAUCUGACACAACACCUUUGAUUUCCAUUUACUGUGACACAUGAUGUCAUAUUCAAAUGCUACCCUCCCUCCUCCCCUCUCCCCCCACGCAAAAAAUAAAUCCCAGGAGAUAAUCCUUUACAAUAGGCCAUUAUGCUUUUAGACUUCACCAGUAAUAGCAUCCAUAUAGAAAUCUUAUUUAUUUUAUUUUAAGGUGCAGCACUUAGGAGAUGAACAGCAAUCGCUACUGAUUUGAAUCUUCUGACAUGGGACCAGUAAGCGCAUCUGGUGAUGUUUCACGUCUUUUCUGGAAGAGGAAUCGAGCCAAUCAGCUUAUUUUAUGGUAGAUUUAGAAUUUGUGACUAUCUUUUAAAGAUGUCAUUUUGCCCCACAUUUUGAGAACAAUCUCAAAAAGAGGUCUUUACUGUGGAGCUAAAAGCAUGGCAGAUAUUCUCUAUCAUUCACCGUGACAUAAGUUUGUACCUCACAAAAUGCAUAGACAGGAAUUUAAUAUAAAGAAUUAGUCCAUUUACCGUAUACACAAAACAUAGAGCUUUUUGUUGUAACACUUUGUUGUUUGUGUUUUGGCAAAUCCAACAUUG